rnacentral:rRNA from 1 species
AUUGAACGCUGGCGGCAGGCUUAACACAUGCAAGUCGAGCGGAGAUGAGGUGCUUGCACCUUAUCUUAGCGGCGGACGGGUGAGUAAUGCUUAGGAAUCUGCCUAUUAGUGGGGGACAACAUUCCGAAAGGAAUGCUAAUACCGCAUACGCCCUACGGGGGAAAGCAGGGGAUCUUCGGACCUUGCGCUAAUAGAUGAGCCUAAGUCGGAUUAGCCAGUUGGUGGGGUAAAGGCCUACCAAGGCGACGAUCUGUAGCGGGUCUGAGAGGAUGAUCCGCCACACUGGGACUGAGACACGGCCAAGACUCCUACGGGAGGCAGCAGUGGGGAAUAUUGGACAAUGGGCGGAAGCCUGAUCCAGCCAUGCCGCGUGUGUGAAGAAGGCCUUUUGGUUGUAAAGCACUUUAAGCGAGGAGGAGGCUACCUGGAUUAAUACUCUAGGAUAGUGGACGUUACUCGCAGAAUAAGCACCGGCUAACUCUGUGCCAGCCGCCGCCGUAAGAC